GAUCCUCUCUCAAGAGAACAGGGAUCUAUCCGGGAGAUCCUGAUAGGGCUACGUUGAAGCACAGGAGAGAAAAGUGUGGCCGCUCUGAGGAGAACAGGAAGGUGACAUCAGGUCAAGAUGAUUUGAGCACAGGAGAAAGCUGUACACAAGUAAACAGAGAAGCUGAUCCAGGUGUGGAGGAAUGCCAGAUGGAGAGCAAUAGACAGCGGAAUGGCUUAUCUGAAACAUACAUGGAUUCAAUGUGACCCUGUUUCCCGCAGGGCUCUCAUAUGUGCAGUACUGAAACAGAUGCAAUGAGGUCAUUCCUUCUUUUGAUACGAUCUGGCAAUGGGUAUACAGCCAUUUCCUGAAACUAUGUGAGUCAUAUUGACUCUAGUUUUCCUUUGGUUUUCUUUAUAAAGAAUAAGUGGGUUCUAAGGUGAAGAAUAAACACUCUUGAGGCUAUUGUACUUUC